AAUUUUUGGAGCUAAAACUGGGUGCACAAUUUGCAUUUAGGGGCCGUUUGGUUGGAUGUAGUUGUAAAAACAGUGUAAUUAAAAAUACAUGCAGUUGCAAAUGCUACAGUUAGUCUAUUUGGUUUUAUACAGUUGUAACUGCUGCUGCAGUUACAUUUCUUCUGUUUGGUAGGCUGCAAUUGAGAUUUGUAUUUAUAAAUGCUGUCAAAUUUUAGAUAGAAAUGUGAGAUUACCUCUUCUUAAGAUAACAUACUUAUGAGAUUAUAUAAUUAUUAAUUAAGACUUAUAUAUAUAUUAUAAAAUUAUAUAUGAAUUUAAUAAAUUUUAAAUGUAAACAUAUUAUAAAUUUGAUCGUAACAAAAAUUUUUUUAAAAAUAAAGUAAAUCAAUUACUAACAUCACAGGACUAGAGAGAGAGUAAUGAGUGUGAUGACUAUUUCUGUGUGUGAGAGAGAGAGAAAGAGAGAGACGCACCACCCUAGGACCUAUUGUGAAGCACGAGAAUUGAAGAAGCACGAGAGUUGAAUAACGGCCGCCGCAAACUCUAGGACCUAUUGUGAAUAGAUAUUUUCGGAAAAAAGAAAAUAGCAAAUGAAAAAAUUAGAGUUUAUUUUUUUUGGGUGAGCUAACUCGUGCCCAACUGCUCCAGUUGGUACUAACUGUCUACAGUAUCAACUGCAGCAAUUGGGCCCGUUCAUGUGGAUGCAACUGCUACAGUUAGGCCUAACUGCACCAAACUAAACAAAAAAGUAAUUGAUGCAUGCAUUUCCAACUGCACUGCAGUUGGAAAAGCAUGCAACCAAACUGCCUCUUAGUUUUCUGAAAACAAUAAA
rnacentral:lncRNA from 1 species